rnacentral:rRNA from 1 species
GACGAACGCUGGCGGCGUGCCUAAUACAUGCAAGUCGAGCGCAGGAAACUGACGGAACUCUUCGGAGGGAAGGCAGUGGAAUGAGCGGCGGACGGGUGAGUAACACGUAAGGAACCUGCCUCAAGGAUUGGGAUAACUCCGAGAAAUCGGAGCUAAUACCGGAUAGUUCAUCGGACCGCAUGGUCCGUUGAUGAAAGGCGCUCCGGCGUCACCUUGAGAUGGCCUUGCGGUGCAUUAGCUAGUUGGUGGGGUAACGGCCCACCAAGGCGACGAUGCAUAGCCGACCUGAGAGGGUGAUCGGCCACACUGGGACUGAGACACGGCCCAGACUCCUACGGGAGGCAGCAGUAGGGAAUCUUCCACAAUGGACGAAAGUCUGAUGGAGCAACGCCGCGUGAGUGAUGAAGGUUUUCGGAUCGUAAAACUCUGUUGUAAGGGAAGAACACGUACGAGAGGGAAUGCUCGUACCUUGACGGUACCUUACGAGAAAGCCACGGCUAACUACGUGCCAGCCGCCGCCGUAA